rnacentral:rRNA from 1 species
GACGAACGCUGGCGGCGUGCUUAACACAUGCAAGUCGAACGGAAAGGCCCUGCUCUUGUGGGUUGCUCGAUUGGCGAACGGGUGAGUAACACGCGAGUAACCUGCCCUUGACUUUGGGAUAACUUCAGGAAACUGGGGCUAAUAUCGGAUAUGAGCUCCUGCUGCAUGGUGGGGGUUGGAAAGUUUCGGCGGUUGGGGAUGGACUCGCGGCUUAUCAGCUUGUUUGUGGGGUAGUGGCUUACCAAGGCUUUGACGGGUAGCCGGCCUGAGAGGGUGACCGGCCACAUUGGGACUGAGAUACGGCCCAGACUCCUACGGGAGGCAGCAGUGGAGAAUAUUGCACAAUGGGCGGAAGCCUGAUGCAGCAACGCCGCGUGCGGGAUGACGGCCUUCGGGUUGUAAACCGCUUUCGCCUGUGACGAAGCGUGAGUGACGGUAAUGGGUAAAGAAGCACCGGCUAACUACGUG